rnacentral:rRNA from 1 species
GUUGAAACACCGGUUCUCGUACGAUCACCGAAGUUAAGCAACGUCGAGCCUGGCCAGUACCUAGACGGGUGACCGCUUGGGGAUACCAGGUGCUGUAAG